AGUGAACGCUGGCGGUAGGCCUAACACAUGCAAGUCGAACGGCAGCACAGUAAGAGCUUGCUCUUACGGGUGGCGAGUGGCGGACGGGUGAGGAAUACAUCGGAAUCUACUUUUUCGUGGGGGAUAACGUAGGGAAACUUACGCUAAUACCGCAUACGACCUACGGGUGAAAGCAGGGGAUCUUCGGACCUUGCGCGAUUGAAUGAGCCGAUGUCGGAUUAGCUAGUUGGCGGGGUAAAGGCCCACCAAGGCGACGAUCCGUAGCUGGUCUGAGAGGAUGAUAGCCGGCAUUGGAGCUUGGACAGGGUCCAGACGCCUACGGGAGGCAGCAGUCGGGAAUAUUGGACAAUGGGGGGAAGCCUGAUCCAGCCAUACCGCGUGGGUGACGAAGGCCUUCGGGUUGUAAAGCCCUUUUGUGGGGAGAGAAAAGCAGCAGGUUAAUACCCCGCUGUUCUGACGGUACCCAAAGAAUAAGCACCGGCUAACUUCGUG
rnacentral:rRNA from 1 species